rnacentral:rRNA from 1 species
GCCUACGGGGCGCAGCAGUGGGGAAUAUUGCACAAUGGGGGAAACCCUGAUGCAGCGACGCCGCGUGAGUGAGGAAGUAUUUCGGUAUGUAAAGCUCUAUCAGCAGGGAAGAAAAUGACGGUACCUGACUAAGAAGCCCCGGCUAACUACGUGCCAGCAGCCGCGGUAAUACGUAGGGGGCAAGCGUUAUCCGGAUUUACUGGGUGUAAAGGGAGCGUAGACGGCAGCGCAAGUCUGGAGUGAAAUGCCGGGGUCCAACCCCGGAACUGCUUUGGAAACUGUGCAGCUCGAGUGCAGGAGAGGUA